rnacentral:rRNA from 1 species
GACGAACGCUGGCGGCGUGCCUAAUACAUGCAAGUUGAGCGCUGAAGGUUGGUACUUGUACCAACUGGAUGAGCAGCGAGCGGGUGAGUAACGCGUGGGGAAUCUGCCUUUGAGCGGGGGACAACAUUUGGAAACGAAUGCUAAUACCGCAUAAAAACUUUAAACACAAGUUUUAAGUUUGAAAGAUGCAAUUGCAUCACUCAAAGAUGAUCCCGCGUUGUAUUAGCUAGUUGGUGAGGUAAAGGCUCACCAAGGCGAUGAUACAUAGCCGACCUGAGAGGGUGAUCGGCCACAUUGGGACUGAGACACGGCCCAAACUCCUACGGGAGGCAGCAGUAGGGAAUCUUCGGCAAUGGACGAAAGUCUGACCGAGCAACGCCGCGUGAGUGAAGAAGGUUUUCGGAUCGUAAAACUCUGUUGGUAGAGAAGAACGUUGGUGAGAGUGGAAAGCUCAUCAAGUGACGGUAACUACCCAGAAAGGGACGGCUAACUACGUG